CCCUGACAGUCGCAUUGGGCGGCUGACUUAACCCACGACAGGAGAUAAUCAUG
rnacentral:ncRNA from 1 species